UGGAUUCCCAAUAACCGUGGGAUGACACAACUGCUAAACUCCUACUUUAAAAGUCUAAAGCAACAUUUCUUUAUCCAAGCUUCCAAAUCAGCAGCAUUUGUCAAAUGGCCAUGACAGAAUGGCAGGAAUAUAGUGUGGGAAGCACUAAUUACAAUAACUCUAAGCUGGCAAUUUUGCAGUUAAGAUCUUUUCAAGAUCUUUUUUCUAUGUAAACAGAAAUAAUUUCUCUCACAUUUUUACAAAACUGAAAUAUCUGGAAAUAAAUAAAAUAGUCCCUGCAAAGUAUCUUUCCCAUUACUAUGGAGAUCAUGGCUGUUCAGAAUCAGAAACUUUCUUAUCUACAGUGCAUCUAAUGAAGACAAGAAAAGAUGUUUUUACCCUCAGAUAUUCUUAUCCAUGACAACCUUAGCUUACACAACAGUGUGGACUGUUUUCAAGAAGACAGGUCAACUUGAUAAAAAUCAGACCAUUUCCUCCAGACAGAUCUACAUUAAGCAAAACUCAGACCUACCUCCAUCCUCCUCAGAGCCGUCCAGGGCAGGGUCCAAGCACCAGCAGCAGCAACACCUGCUCCCCGGGCAGCCGCAGCUUAAGGCUUCGGGGGUGUGGGAUCGUCCCACCCACUCCCAGGAGUCCCGACUGCCAUCACCUGAUCUGCUGCAGGUGAAAUCCUGCACCUGUGCUUUUGAAGGAGGGAAACAAACCCCACCACAACCUCAGCUAGAAUGUUUGCCCUGCAACAACCCACUGCUGGCAAACCUCCUCCCUGCCUUGAGGAUAUGAACUAUUUUAUCUUAUCUCUUUCGUAUUCCAUUACCACAACAAAAUCCUUUUCUGCUCAAGAAAAAGAUGUUAUAUGUGUUUAAGGAUGGAGUCCCACACCAGGACCUCGCUCACAGACCACAUCUGGGCCUGAUCUCUCCCAUUCACUGAAACCUGAGAUUAUUGGAACAGCCCUGAUAUUUAUAGUGUAGAAAUAAUAUCCUGAAAUGUAACAACAACAAAAAAUAUACUAAAUAAAAAAUAAUCUCUGUUAAUGGUAUUUGAAAUAAAGAUUUUUAGUAAGAAGGAAGUAAAAGAAUAAGAAAUACUGGGUAGUGUUUUGCUUCUCUGCAGUGCUUGAUUUAACAAUAGUCGGCAAUAAAAGGUAAUUGCUCAGAUUAGCAACUCUUCAACACCUUUUCAAAAUCGUGUAAUUAAAAAGUGAGGGUGGCCAGGUAGGGGAGAAUGUUUUUUUUCUCACAGUUUAAUAUUAGGUAUAUGUUAGCAGAUUACAGAUCACAGGAUUCAGGGAAGGGAGCUGGCCCCGUUCAAUAUUCAUUUGAGCAUCAAGGUGCCUGAAGCAACCCAAGGGCCUCGGUGUGCCCUCCCUCAGGGAAUGGUUGCUUCACUCUGGGGCUGUCCCUCUGCUGCGUCUGACCAACUCCAGGCCAGAAGGGGGGGACAGAUCGUCUGAACAUGCCUCUCCCAUUUCAGUGUGGGUUUGAUUUUCAUGCUGUCACAGCUGCAAAUAUCAAUAAAAGUAAUUCAAAGGAAGUAGGCUGCUGAUGCCCUGAACAGUGGAGGGCACUGACAGUGUGUGCAAAAGAGAUGCUAAUUUCCAACUGGUUAGUAAUUGUGGACCAUGGGACAUAGUAUCAUCCUUGGCCACCUGCUGAGGGUCUGGAAAACUGUUUCCGUGCCCAAAGAGACACAUUAUCUCUCUGCUGGCAACUUCAGAGAAAUGCUGGGUAUGCCUUUGAGGUUACUGUAAGAAAUCCUGCAGGGAAUUCUUGUCAAUGCGGUUUUCACCAUAUGAAGGUACCAAGCAGUGCAGAGAGAACUUGCUUUUUAUUCUUAGCCAUCUUAAAAUGUCUGUGGAGACAACAGGUCUUUUUGUUUUAGUUGUAGAAUGACACUUUGGUGGUGUUUUGUUUUUUUUUUUUUUCACUGUACUUGUCAACACUUUUUAUAUGCUCUCUGAAGAAGGGAUAUAUGAAUACUGUGUUGGGUUAUGGAGUGUGCAAACACUGAUUAUUAUUAUUAUAUAUUUAUGUAUUUUAUAAAAGUGUAAUGCUCGUUUGUUUUGACAGUUUCCCCAAUGCCUGAUGAAAGACAAACCAAAGCAGCACGGUUCAAAGCGUCCCUUUUUGAAUUUACUGAUAGAUUUUAAAGUAAUGGAUUUAUGAGUGAAUAUUUUCCUUUUUUUCUUUUUUUUUAUUAUUUUGUAGCGGGUGUAGGCUUGGUGUUGAAAGUAUGAACCAAAAAAGAGGGAAUGUUGAAAUACUGGCUUUUAGCUAUUUUCUGAUAGUGUGAAUGUACAUUCAUUUCUAGAAUCUGUUUUGAUCUAUCUAUAUCUUUGUGCAUGCAUAUCUAAAAAUAUGCAAAUAUUUAAGUAUCUCUUUAAUUCUUCUUAUCCAAGAUGCAAACAUUUACAUUGAGGCUUCCAGACCCUCAAAUAUUAGAAAGUAUCUUCACUAUAUUAUUUUCAGUUAAAUUCUAUUAAUUUAGAGCAACUAAGUGCCUGACAGAAUUCAUGAUUGUGCCUCCAAAAUUGACAACUUCUAUCCCUCACAAAAAACAACUUAUUCCAGACUCCAAAAGCUAAGACUUCAGAUUUGUAAUCAUUUUUGCUGAUGUCUAAUGUUCAUCUUGGAAAGUAAAACCAGGGCUGAACACCUUUAAUUUAAAGUUCUAGUCACAGUCAGUAAAGGUGAUAGACUUAAGUAAACCUAAGGAUUAAUUGAGGAUUUACUGUUAAUCUGAGGAUCACAUUAACAAAGAUGCAUAGGCCAUAUCUCAAACCAGUAGGCAUUUUAUGUUUACAUACUUCUAUGAGUCAAACGUACACCUUGAGGAUCCUGCUUGCCUUGUGCAUGAAAGCAUUUUUAAAAUACUCUGGCACCUGUGCUUACAGGAAGAACAGAACCCUAAAAACAUAAACCCAUUCUGCCCAAAGUCGAUGGAUAUUAUGACCAGUUUGGCUGCCAGGCCAAGGAAUCAGUAAUUCAAAUGAGGUCAGGAUGCUCUUAGGUGUUGAAACAGGCCUGAAAUAAUGUGGGACAUCAGUUUAGAACAGAGGAAGAGCUGAUAUGCUUUACCAGUCCCUUUACCAAGAGCUGUUAAGUUAUGAUUACUUGGGAUGAAGAAACACCACACAAAACUCAAAACAUGUUUCAACUGAAUUAAAGUUAAUGCUCAUUAUGAUAGGCUUUGAUGUAUGAAGAUGCAAUUAUCACAGUUAAAUAUAUAAAUCCUGCUCAAGUCAUGUUGUGUAUAUGUACAAAUGAUCAAAAAAGAUGUAAAAAUAAUUUGUGAAAAUCUAAUUGUUUUAAAAAGUAAUCUGAGAAGUGGACAAAACAUAAGGUGUAUUCUGUCCCUCUUUACUUCUUGUAAAUGUCUUCAUUUAGAUUUGUGAACAUUUUAUAAUUUUUUGCUGUAGUACUGGAUUUCAAGUUAAUCACAGUAAUUUUUUUGUCAUUGAAAUUCUUUCUUAGUACUCUUAGUUUCCUCUUGAAAGUAGUCUAUUUCACAGUAAUAUCUAUGUAUGAAAAAUGUUUUCAUUUUGUAGUAGAGCACUCUUCCUUCUCAAAGGGAAGCCACAAUCAAGUUUUGACAGUCUCUUUUUUUCAUUUCUAUUACAGGGUUCAAUGAAUUCCCAUAGAUUCAUUAUUAUUUAUGUAAACUAUCUUGAUCAAAUAGAUAUGUAGCUGCAUAACAAAUAACCUGAUAACCAACGUUAGAGAGAUUUACUUUCCAGAGCACUAAAUCUUCAUACAAUUCUGUUCUUUCACUCAGAAAAGCAAACCCUAUUAUGUAUGCCUUAUAUCUAUAUAGAAAUCUCCAGGUAGUGUAAUUUCAGCUUUCAGGGUGAAAAACUUCACUAUUUAUUGAAUAAAUGGUAGGUGUUUAAAAUUACCAACAGACAUUCAUACUCACUAACAACUUGAAAACCAGGCAAGUCUCUGUAGUUACAGCUGUAAUGGGAAAAUACAUCCAGAUUCACGUGAUAUUCAUGAGCUCAAAAUUUACUCAUAGAUCAAAUCUUUGGAAAUCCUAUUAAGGGUAACACCUUGAGAUGUCAUGAUUAAUCCAUAGUAGUCCUUCAGGAAAUCUUUGUGUAGUCACUUUGAAUGCCUCAGUAAUUAAUUCCUCAAUGUCAUUUGGCUUGACUCAGGAACAUAAUUUAGGCUAUACUGGAAAUAAUGCUGUCGUCCUCAGUGUAGAUUGUAGAUUAGGAGGAUAUAUGACAA